rnacentral:piRNA from 1 species
UGAGAAUUUACCCUUCCUGAGUCAGGCCU